rnacentral:rRNA from 1 species
GCUCAGAACGAACGCCGGCGGCGUGCCUAACACAUGCAAGUCGAACGGAAUUGAAGGGCUUGCUCUUCAAUUUAGUGGCGCACGGGUGAGUAACGCGUGGAUAAUCUGCCCUGGUAUCUGGGAUAACAUUUCGAAAGGAGUGCUAAUACCGGAUAAGCCCACGGGGUCUUCGGACCUUGCGGGAAAAGGUGGCCUCUGAAUAUGCUACUGUAUCAGGAUGAGUCCGCGUCCCAUUAGCUAGUUGGCGGGGUAACGGCCCACCAAGGCGACGAUGGGUAGCUGGUCUGAGAGGAUGAUCAGCCACACUGGAACUGAGACACGGUCCAGACUCCUACGGGAGGCAGCAGUGGGGAAUUUUGCGCAAUGGGGGAAACCCUGACGCAUCAACGCCGCGUGAGUGAUGAAGGCCUUCGGGUCGUAAAGCUCUGUCAGAGGGAAAGAAGUGUGUGGUGGCUAAUACCUGCUACACUUGACGGUACCCUCAAAGGAAGCACCGGCUAACUCCGUGCCAGCAGCCGCGGUAAUACGGAGGGUGCGAGCGUUGUUCGGAAUUAUUGGGCGUAAAGCGCGUGUAGGCGGUUUUUUAAGUCUGAUGUGAAAGCCCUGGGCUCAACCCGGGAAGUGCAUUGGAAACUGGGAGACUUGAAUACGGGAGAGGGUAGUGGAAUUCCUGGUGUAGGAGUGAAAUCCGUAGAUAUCAGGAGGAACACCGGUGGCGAAGGCGGCCGCCUGGAUCGAUAUUGACGUUGAGACGCGAAAGCGUGGGGAGCAAACAGAGAUUAGAUACCCUGGUAGUCCACGCCGUAAACGAUGAGUACUAGGUGUCGCGGGUAUUGACCCCUGCGGUGCC